rnacentral:lncRNA from 1 species
AAAUUAUAUAAUUGAUCUGCAUUUGGGGGGUUGGGGUAAAAGGGGUCCGGAUCUCGAAAUCCCGGGCUUAAAAACACGAAGUCACAAGGUCCCGAAUUUAAAUAAAUUUAAAUCCCGACAUCGCGAAAAAAGAAUUCCCAGAUCCCGAAAGGGUUAAUCCCGAAAUCCCGAACUUAUUUGCAUAAUAUUAAUUUACGCACA